UACGUAGGGUGCAAGCGUUGUCCGGAAUUAUUGGGCGUAAAGAGCUCGUAGGCGGUUUGUUGCGUCGGCUGUGAAAUCCCGAGGCCCAACCUCGGGUCUGCAGUCGAUACGAGCAAACUAGAGUGUUGCAGGGGAGACUGGAAUUCCUGGUGUAGCGGUGAAAUGCGCAGAUAUCAGGAGGAACACCGGUGGCGAAGGCGGGUCUCUGGGCAACAACUGACGCUGAGGAGCGAAAGCGUGGGGAGCGAACAGG
rnacentral:rRNA from 1 species